rnacentral:sRNA from 1 species
GGCAGGAGCUUGCGUUCAGGCUCUCGAUACGUCUAUGGUAUGGCGUCAGACUUAGCCCACAGCAGGGUAAGGAAUCGUUACGGAUCUGCGCACAGAGCGGAUCCACAAUAACGCAAGCA